UGGUGGGUAGUUUGACUGGGGCGGUCUCCUCCUAAAGAGUAACGGAGGAGCACGAAGGUUGGCUAAUCCUGGUCGGACAUCAGGAGGUUAGUGCAAUGGCAUAAGCCAGCUUGACUGCGAGCGUGACGGCGCGAGCAGGUGCGAAAGCAGGUCAUAGUGAUCCGGUGGUUCUGAAUGGAAGGGCCAUCGCUCAACGGAUAAAAGGUACUCCGGGGAUAACAGGCUGAUACCGCCCAAGAGUUCAUAUCGACGGCGGUGUUUGGCACCUCGAUGUCGGCUCAUCACAUCCUGGGGCUGAAGUAGGUCCCAAGGGUAUGGCUGUUCGCCAUUUAAAGUGGUACGCGAGCUGGGUUUAGAACGUCGUGAGACAGUUCGGUCCCUAUCUGCCGUGGGCGC
rnacentral:rRNA from 1 species